rnacentral:rRNA from 1 species
CUAGCUUCGCUGCCCGAGUUGUAAUCUAGAGAAGCAUUAUCAGCGCUCGCGGCGUGUACAAGUGUCCUGGAAUGGACCAUCAUAGAGGGUGACAAUCCCGUCUUUGACAUGGCUGCCUUUAGUGCUAUUGAUGUGCUCUCAACGAGUCGAGUUGUUUGGGAAUGCAGCUCUAAAUGGGUGGUAAGUUCCAUCUAAAGCUAAAUAUUGGCGAGAGACCGAUAGCGAACAAGUACCGUGAGGGAAAGAUGAAAAGAACUUUGGAAAGAGAGUUAAACAGUACGUGAAAUUGCUGAAAGGGAAACGCUUGAAGUCGGUCGCGUUGGCUGGGUAAUCGAGAAAUCAACCUUGCUUUCUAAAAGCUCGGCUUAUUUCCCAGUUGACGGGCCAGCAUCAGUUUUGACCGGUGGAUAAAGGUCAAGGGAAUGUGGCACCUCUGGGUGUGUUAUAGCCCUCGGUCAUAUACAUCGGUUGGGACUGAGGAACUCAGCACUUUGUUGCUUAGGAUGCUGGCAUAAAGGCUUUAAGCGACCCGUCUUGAAACACGGACCAAGGAGUCUAACAUGCCCGCGAGUGUUUGGGUGGAAAACCCGAGCGCGCAAUGAAAGUGAAAGUUGAGAUCCCUGUCAUGGGGAGCAUCAAUGCCUGGACCAGAGCUUUUGUGAUGGAUCCACGGUAGAGCGUGUAUGUUGGGACCCGAAAGAUGGUGAACUAUGCCUGAAUAGGGUGAAGCCAGAGGAAACUCUGGUGGAGGCUUGUAGCGAUUCUGACGUGCAAAUCGAUCGUCAAAUUUGGGUAUAGGGGCGAAAGACUAAUCGAACCAUCUAGUAGCUGGUUCCUGCCGAAGUUUCCCUCAGGAUAGCAGAAACUCAUUAUCAGAUUUAUGUGGUAAAGCGAAUGAUUAGAGGCCUUGGGGUUGUAACAACCUUAACCUAUUCUCAAACUUUAAAUAUGUAAGAACGAGCAGUCUCUUAGUUGGACCGCUUGGCGAUUGAGAGUUUCUAGUGGGCCAUUUUUGGUAAGCAGAACUGGCGAUGCGGGAUGAACCGAACGCGAGGUUAAGGUGCCGGAAUUCACGCUCAUCAGACACCACAAAAGGUGUUAGUUCAUCUAGACAGCAGGACGGUGGCCAUGGAAGUCGGAAUCCGCUAAGGAGUGUGUAACAACUCACCUGCCGAAUGAACUAGCCCUGAAAAUGGAUGGCGCUUAAGCGUGAUACCCAUACCUCGCCGUCAGUGUUUUAGUGACGCUCUGACGAGUAGGCAGGCGUGGAGGUCAG